CGAGCCGAUUGGCCGGGCCGCCGUGACGUCACGGGCCGCCGCGGGUUCGCCCCGAACAAAAGAGAUGCUGAUGGCCCGCCAGGCCCGGGGCAGGGAACUUUUUUUUGGUUUCCUUUGCGGUCGUCGAACUUUCUUAGCGGUUGGGGGCAGGGAUGGGAAAGCGGCUGGACGGGCAGCCGGCGAGGACUGGGAGCGGCUGGAGUUGCCAGACGUGGAGGACUGCAAACCUCCCUCUCUGUACUUUUUUUUUUUUUUUUUAAUUUGGGGGGUGGGGUGUUUGACGACAUUGCGUCACCUCUAAAAAAAAAAAAAAAAAUCUCUGCUCGCCGGACUUUGUGGGGAGGAAAACCCACAAAGCAGCCAGCACCUCGCGGCUGCAGGAGCCCAGACUUGGCGGCCCGGGCGGGGCCGGCUGCGCGCCUUUGCCUGUCUCGGCUGCAGCGCGCCAGCUCCGGACCCCCUUGCUGCGCUGCCUCGCAUCCCGUUCAGACUUCUGGCCUUGUGCAGCCUGUACCAGCCCAGAGCUGGGCAGGACUGGCCGGGGCGGGGGACUUAGGGCGAAAAGUGAUUUUUUCGUUAAUGAGCGUCUACUAAGUACUCCGAGACUUUCCGGGCGCUUUGCAGAUCUGGGGAAACUCCGAGGACAAACUUUAUUUUCAAAGGACUAAGUUUCUUUUUUCAGAUAUGCAAGAAAGUCUUCCUUUCUUGCGGAUGGGAUGCCCUUUGCACUGGAAGAGAGAUCAGUAGUGAGCGCCCCAGAACUGCAAAGUCGGGCCGACAGUGAAGAGGGAGAAACCUUCGUGUCCUUAACACGACAGCUGUGCCACUCACGCACAAAGCUGGAUAUUUUAAUCACCAAAAACCGAUAGGGAGAGGGCUGUCUUUCUCUCACAGUCUUAAUCUACAGCCCCACCCUUCCUGUAUUUGGCGUUUUCUUAUUCAAAGAUUUCAGUCUGCUUGCAGAAUUCCGCACCCUUCCCUCCCCUGCGGCCAAACUUUUGACAUUGCUAUUGUUACUUGCCUCAAGAAUUUAGAAAAUUCCCAUUUAAUAUUCCCGUUUUUCCCUCUAAACUCAGAAAGUGGAAGGGGAAUCGAAGGAGUCUCUGGUGUUUAGCAGCUCAACACUUCGGUCCUUUUCAGACAAACACAUGCCAAGGUUUUGAAAAAAAGAAGUCCAAGACUUUCACGGUAAUCCUCACACCCUUAGAGGCUCCGAGGUUCCCUUUGCUUUGAGAACAAAUUAAAACUGCUAACAAAAUAUUUUAUUUUUGCAAAACGCUUUUCUCCAAAAGUUCCGCCUUUAGUAACUGCUACAGGGCUAAUUUGAACUCUGUGGACUAUAAAAUCGCCAGCACUUUAAAGACACGAAACUAACAUUUGUUUGUGUUGAUGCAAGGAAUUAAAAACAACCACAGCAAAUAUCAGUUCUCUGCAAGUGGUGUAAAAUAACUCGAGGAAUCUUUGUGACCAGCACUCCAAGUUGAAAGGGUGCCACAGAUUUCCCCCAAGUUAGAAUCCUGUCUGGGUUAGAGUUUUUUUGGCAUUUCUCAUCAUCACUUGACAAAACAGUUUUCUCUUUCAAAUAUAAAAGGGCUCCUUGUAAAAUACUUAGCUUCUGGGAAGCAGGGUGUACCUUCCCAAGGGGAGGGAGCCUGGAACUCAAGAUGUAAGCAAGAUAAACCCAAACCUAAAAUACACGGAUUCUGGAGGAAGGAAAUAAGUGGUUAGAAAAGUAUUUUGUCGAAUCAAAAACAUGAUAAUUUGAUAUAUUUACUGUACUCAAAAUACAUUAGAAUAAUAUACCUAUGAGAGCUUGGCCACCUUACCUUUGAGAACCAAUUUUUGUAUUUCCAUGCUGUUGAUACACAGUUUUUCUAAGGAAAUUGAAAACCUCUAAUCUCACAAGCAAACCUAUAAUAACAUUUGACUGAAUUUUAUAGGAAUGCUUAGGAGUUAACCCUUUCACUUGAAAGUUGCUUUUUUUUUUGUUUUAUUUUGUUUUAAAUUUCGGUGAUGGUGACAUUAUCUUAGUUAAGAUAACAGGACUUGUUACAGUAUUCUUUCAUUAUCAAAACCCUUUGUAACAAGUCUGUUAUCUCCAACUGGAAGAUAAUUAAAUCUUACAGCCCACAUUGUCUAGUUCAACAGAUGUAUUUGCUGUCCUAGAUUCCCCUGGACUCCUUGGAGAUUUCUGAAGAGCACUAUGCAGAGUGGAUAUCUUACUCAGUAAGUGUCCUCCAACAUCCAGGACAUGCCCCUUUCAUUUCUUUCUUUUUAAGGGAAAAAAAAAUCUCAAUUUGGGUAGAGAAAUAUGACAAAAACAAAACAACAACAACAACAAAAAGCAAAAAUCUAUAGACAGAAAGUAGAUUUGUGGGUACCCAGGACUGCAACUGGGAAAAGGAAUUAACUAUGAACACCCACAAAGGAAUCUUAUUGAAGUGAUGGAAAUAAAUGUUUCUAAAACUAGAUUGUGGUCGUGACAGUACAAUUCAGUAAAGUUCCUAAAAAUCAAAGUUCUGAGCUUUGCUGUAUGCGAAUUAUACUUGAAAAAAGUUGAAGUUAAGAAGUUAGACGUCAUUUCCUGAUUUUGUUUCAAGGACUCGCAGUAACAUUCACAAGCAUCUUCAUUCUUGGAGGAUUUCUCACAUCAAAUACUGUACAGCAGAGGGUUUUCUUCUACACAGGUGACUCUUUGGAGAGCCUAGAAGUCAUGCAAUGGCGUGUGUGUUGCAGAACAAGUGUUCAUUUAGCACUGGGCUUUAUAUCUUCUUGGAAUUACCACAGUAGUGAGAUUUUCCCAGCUCUUCAGAGAGUUUAAAUUUUCUGAAACAAAUAGAAGCACAUAUAUUUGUGUGUAUGUGUGUGCAUGUGUGUGUGUGCACGUGUAUGUGUGUAGAUAAGGGGGAUGAUUUGGAUAUUUUGUUAUUGCAGAGGAUCAGAGGAAAAUGAACAAGCACUGUUAACUGAAUUACGGCCUGUGCAUUGACUUUAUUCACAUUUUCAACUUGAAGACUGAAGAUAGACAUGUUUGUUUGCGCACAAAAAAUAAUUUGUGGGAUCUAUUCAUUUAGAAAUAUUAAAUAUUAAACAAUUUAAGGAAUACGGGUUUUUUUUUGUUGUUGUUGUUGAUUUGUUUUGUUGGGGGGGGGGCAAAGUCUCAUUGUAUAGUUUAGGUUGCCCGGAACUCACUAGGUAGCCCAGGCUGGCCUCAAACUCACGGUGCUCAGCUUCCCAAACACAAGGAUUAUAGGCAUGCACUGCCACACCCAGCAAAGUUUUAGGAGGCAAAAUUUUUCCCAAGUGAAAAAUGUGUUUUCUUGAAGACUCAUAAACAUAAUAUAGAUAACAUUCCUCUUAAACAAAUUCCUUGUCUUUAGGGAAAAAAAAUCUUAUCUAUGGUAAGAAAUAACUUCUCGACCCGAAAGGUUACAUUUAGAAAAUAGUAGGUUUGUUUUCCUGAAAGCCUUUCAUUUUUAUGCUGGUCUUAAUCUCUUUCAGUCCCACUAGGGGGAGGUCAUUGACAGAGUGACCUCUGGAACCUUCUAUGGUGCUUAAGAUCCUGGGGCAUAUUUUAUGAAUUUCAUGGUCUUCUAUAGGUAGGUUGGAUGGAAAUAAACCGCAGUAGUUUCUAUUUACUUUUGUUUAAUCUUAUGAUGUGAAACCCUUCCUUUCUUCUUUCUUGAAAAUGACUAGAUUUGCAAGAAUGCUAAUUAUUAAGCACAGGUGUGAGACGGAAAAAUAAGCUGCCAGGUGGGGGUCACCCUCCUGGUAGAACUCUGAGCAGUUUUUCUAGAAUUGACAAUGUGUCUGCAACCAGGGAGAAGAUUCUUGAUAAGGGCUUUAAAUUAUGCCAUGAAAGCUAGCUAGUUUUCACUUAAUAAGCAUUUUGCUUAUAUUUUGUUACUUUAUUUUUUUAAUCAGCACUUUUAAAAGGCUUAAUCUGUGCUUUUUGCUUCUUAAUAGGAAUACUCUUUUCUCAUUAGAGUGAUGUAACUCCCAGAAGGUUUUGCAAAGGAGACUGAUUUAUCCAGUAAAAUGGAAGUAACUACUGUGUAGCUAGAGCAUUUUGCCAAAAGCAUGUUGGAGGACGGUUCUAACUCCCAAGAUAGGCAGUAUUUUGUUGGGGAAUUUUUAUUUUUGUGUGUUGUUGCUCUUUUUUCAAAAUUUUCUUUAUGUUGGUGAGACUAUUUCUAAUUUUGCUUUGCUUUAUGCCAACAUCUUAUUUUGAAAGGCUGAAUAAUUUUAUUUGAUUGAAACAUUUCCAAUAUUUAUUUUCUGUCCUUUGUAUAUUCACGUACUAUAAAUAUUUCAUAUAUAGCUUGUCUGCAAGGUUGAUUCACUUAAAAGUAACCAUAAACAUUAUAUUUUAAAUUAGCUUUUAUAUUUACAAUCGAUUAUUUUGAUAUAGGUAGUCAAUAGCAAGUCUAAUUAAUUAUAAAAAAUUAAAAACAUUUCACUGAGCUAUAAAAUGAUGAUAUGAAUAUAAUCACUCAUGUCUAAACUGAGUCAUUUUCAAGAUGAAUUUUUAUAUUCUUUCAUUAGCUAUGAAAAUUUUAUUGAGAUAAAAUAGACAUUUAAAAUCUUUACUGUUGGGCCAGGGAUUUGGCGUAGCAGCAUAAGAAUCUGCCUGGUUGGGGCUGGGGAUUUAGCUCAGCGGCAUAAGCGCCUGCCUUAAGCAGGCAGUCGUGAGUUCGAUCCCUGGUACGGAUAAAAAAUGAAAAAGACAAAAAAAAAAAAUUAAAAAAAAAAGAAUCUGCCUGGCGAGUGCGCAGUUGUGAGUUAGAUCCCCAUUACCAAAAAACAGUAUUAAAAAUCAUUACUAUCUUUUUUAUUUUAUUUUUGACUUUUUGAGAUAAGGUUUUCACAUGUAGUUCAGAAUGAUGUCAAACUCACUAUGUAGCCCAGGCUGUCCUAAAAUUUACAGCGAUCCUUCUGCCUCUGCCUCCCAAGUGCACCACCACGCUCAGCUUCUAACGUUACUACUAUUUUAAACAUGAAAAAUGAAGGCACUGCUAACAUUCACACAUAGGAUCACAAAAAUUUCAAUAUUUGAACAACAAUAAUUAGAUACCUAGAUUUUCUUAAGCACUGCAUCUGAGCCAAACCAAAUACUAAGAGCUUCGUAUGUAUAUUUUUUAUUCAACUCUCAACAACUCCUGCAGGUAAACACCGUUAUCAUCUACCUCAUCCUUGCAAACGAAGACAUAAUGGCUUAGAAAAAUCACCAGAAUGAAGUUCACUGAGUCACCAGCAUUGCAGAGCUGUGUUAUCACUAAAUAAUCUCCUUUGGAAUGACCUAUGGGCAAAGCAACUGGCUAUGGGAUUCUGUUUUUGUGUUUUUAAAUUUUAUUUAUUUAUUUAGGCUGUUGGGUUUUGGAGGUAGCUUUUGCAACAGGAGAUUAAUUCAUUUUAAAAAUGUCACCCAUACCAAUUUCAACCUAUUGUAAUAGGACCAUUCUUUGGUGAACCCAUUUAAUUAUAGGCAAAAAAAUCUGGAGGCUUUUUGGUGUGGAGGGAGAGGGGUGUCGGGGUGGAAUCUAGGUCCUUACACAUGCUAAGCACAUAUUCUACCUUACAGCCACACCCCGAGUCAAAUGCACAAGAUGUUUGCCAGGAACUUUCCACCAGACUGCAGGGUUGGCGGGGCCAAGUCUCAGUUUGCUUCCUCUGAGUGCCCAGCACUGAGUGCAGCAUGCCCUGGGGCAAGUGCUUAGCAAAUGUUGACCGAAUGAGUGAAGGAAGGAAGGGCAGAUGGCGAACAUGAGGAUUCACUGUGACCGUCCAGCCAAGUGCUCUGCAUACGAUAUUUUGUUUUAUCUCCAAAGCGACUGCCAGAAAUAGAUAUUAAUGGCCUCAUUUUACUCUCUAAGGCUCUGAGACUUUAAAGAUGGUUUCUAAACUUAUCCAGAGAGAGAAACACAGAGCAGGAAUUUAAAUUAAGAUCCCUGACACAAAGGCUUUAACCAAGACAUACACGGCUUUCCCCAAAGAGAUUCUGCCCUGAGUAAGUUAUAAGAACUGUGAGGAAAUUCUCUGGUGAUCCCAUUUUAUCUUCCUCCGGAUUUUCAGGCUGUGCGCUGGGCCCUGUGCCCGAGCCUUUGCACGGUCCCGCUAGCUCCUCUGCUUUCUGGAGGGCAGAUGGGCCAGCGUGGGGCUGCUUCCACUUCAGCCUUCUGAGUUAGGGCGCAGUUCUGGUAGUAGCUGUCUCCCCCUAGUGGGGAGCACAAUACUGCCCCAAGGGGGGGAAAUUGAUGGGGUGGGGCUGAUGGAGUAAAGAUGUCUGGAAUGCAGUUUUUGUUUUAAUCUCAAAUGUAUCUGAUAAAAAUCUUAUUACUUAGUUGUUUAUCAAAUCAAAGUUAUUCUGCAGAUAGGAUGGAGUGAGAAAUAAUUUUUUUUAAGGAAGGAAUUUGCUUGAUGACUUCUGCGGGGCUCCUUUUCCUCCAGGCUAAGGCUCUCAGGGGCGCCCUCUUAAAGGGGUGACAAAAUGUCCUUCUCUGCUACUCCCGGGAGCCUUGACACCGCUCCUGAGUCCCUCAUUAGAGAACACAGUCAGUCUCCUGGUGGAAAUCAUUGCAUUCUGUUUCCUGUCAAAACCCUGCCGAUCCAGAUCCCUGACGGCCUCCAGUCACCACAGAGUUACUCACCCAAAUCGUGGCUUUAACUCUUGCCUGCCAGCACGGUGGAUGUAGAGCACAAGAAAUUCUUUUUCCAAAUUUGGCAAAUAAUAUUAUGUAGUGGUUUCCCUGUGUAUCUCUCAUGUCGCGAAUGUUCUUGUUCUUUAUUUUCUGUUAAUUCUGUGCCCUUCUACCCCUGAGUUUUACCCAGAAUAAAAUGCUCUGACCCAGGGAUCCUCAAAUUACAGAAAAGAAACUAGGAUUUGAGUUUUAAGUGUAUGGUGUUCGUCUAGUCAUCCUAACCACCUUGGUAAUAGUGAGACGAUCCACCAAGAAAUUUCGUUCUUGCAGGGAACCUGGGAUCAGCAUCUCUAUCAUCACGAAAAACAGUUUAUGUUUAGAAAUGCUUCAGAAAACCACAAAGGUCUUAUAUUUUGGUAUGAAAUGUGAAUUUUGCUUUUCAAUUCACUUUAGAUGCUGAAAUAAUCUAGCUGAGGGCUGAUGAAGUCAAAGAAAGUUCACUGAGAUCUAUUCUACUUCAACAUGCUUGCAAAUUCCCAGGCAUUGCCAAUAUUUAGUGUAGAAAAUUUCUUAAGUAGAAAUAAACACAGCUUUAGACAGCCCUGGUGGACUAGCACCGUUUAUUCCGUUUAGAGACUCUCCUCAGAAAGCAGACAAACAUCUGCCAUAUCUUUAAUCUUACAGCACACUGUAAUGUUUCAGAGCAUAACAGUUUCAUGCAGUGCCUGGAAAUCCUAAUGUUUUGGACAUUUUUCCAUUUACAUUAGUCAUCUUUUGAAAACUAGAGAAUCCAUUUAUUUUGGAGUUGUGUUGGAAUUCAAAAGUAAUUAUACUGUCUUUAUUAGUCAUGUGUGAGCAAUAAUUUUUCUAUAAUUCAUCUUAAAGAUAUUUGAUUAUUUAUCCUUUAUUGCACAUUUUUGUCAGUUUAUACAACAUUCUGAAAGAUUCAUGAUCGUUUACCAACUUAAGCAUUAAGUUAAUCUUCCCAUUUUCUUUGUCCAGUCAAAUUUUAAAGCAAAAUAAUACAAAUAUUUGUGGGCUCAUAUUAUAAACAUUUUAGUUGAGAAAAAUAAUGUAAAUAUGGCACGGAACUCUAAUUAGAACACAAAUAUUGUUCUGAAAUUUUUUUUCUCUAAGCAACUGAUGCUUUCAACUGAGGCCUACAAAAUGUUAAAUACUUCUCCUUAUCAAUGAAAAUAUUGCCCUUUUAAUUAUUUUUUUUAAUGGCAGGCUUUUAAUUUUGUACUGACUAAAACUGAUCAUUGUUGCCACUUAAACAGCCUACUUAGAUAUUUUGUCAAAUGGUAACGUGAGCUCAGGUCAAGAUGAGUCAUUUGGAGGGAACAUGAUUAGAGCAUUAAAUUUAAAAAACAUGCAUAUACUAUUGUCUCUAAAAUACGCCCUUCAGCUUUUAACAACUUUUUGGCGGUAUAAUUGCAUACAGUAAAGUAAGGUUGUGCAGUUUGGCAGGUGUUGCCGCAGCGACACAUCCUAGAACUUGAUUAGCACAGUUAGGGGAGUGACAUGUCCAUCUCCCCCGAAAUUUUGUUGUGUUUUUAGUAGCUCUUUCAUCUUGCUUUUCCUAUCUUCACACAGUUGCUACUCUGUUUUCUGACACUAUGGAUUAGUUUGCACUUAUGAAAUAAAGCACUAUAAACUCAUUCACUGUGUAACUCAUUAUAUAUACUCUGUAAUUAUUUUGAAAUUCAUCUCUGCUUCUUACAUUAAUAGUGCAUCUUUGGAAUGAAGAACACUUUCUUUUUUUUUAAAUAAAUACUAGGGGGGAAAUGGCCAGAUCACAGUGCAGGUGAGUCUUCAGCAUCUUAAGAAGCCUGUUUUCCUAACUGGGUUGCAUCGUUUUGUAUUCACACCAGCAGUGUCUGUGCCUGGCCCCCCAGUUCCUUCAUUUCCCCAUCCACACUCAGUGUAGCUGUUUCCUGCCAGACGGUGAGUGUGUUCUCUGACUCCUCUCAGCAGUCCGUGAGAAUCUCCCCUCAGGUUUCAGCAAUUAAAUUAUAUACUGUGUGAUCAAAUGAUGCGAUAAAUAUUUUUAAUGUGAUAAAUGUUUAAAUGUUUACAAAUCUCUUAAGCAAAAUGCUCAGCCUCAGUUCAGACAUACGUUCCUGCCACUUUCUAAACAGUUCUGGAAGUCUCAUUUCAUGUCUUUAGUUGAACCGUCAUGCCUGCUGUGCUGACCUGAAUCGACUUGAAACAUUUACCUUUCGUGGUCAUUUUAACUUUGGGGAAGAGCCAGAAAUCAGAUUAUGCCAAAUCCUGUGAAUAAGUAUUGGAAGUCCUUCAGUGACACUGCCUUCAUUCCUGUGAGGGAGACUCCAUCGCCACGCACAUAACUGGGGUUCAUCAAGGAAAAUGAAGGGAGCUGCCCACACCAUUCUCCAUGACAAAGGUGACACCCACUGUGUGCCGCUGUCCUGCAUGGCACAGCCUGCCAGUAAUUAGGUAUAAACAUAGAAAUAGUUCUCAUCACAGGUGGAAGAAGUGAACGUCUCAGCUCUGAGUUCAGUUCCACUAAUAGAAGUGCAGACAUAGAAGACACCCAGUUUUUAACCAUGCAGAUGAUGAAAAGACCACAUGAAAAUCUGAGAUCUAAAUCACCAUGAAUACCAGAACUUGACCACUUACCUGAGCCAAUCAUUUUGAAAUUGUGGCAUGCGAUGAAAAUGCACUUCCUUAUUCAUGAAGCCUCUGUGUUGUUUGGUACAGCACCCCAACUUUUACAGUGUGCCCAUCUCUACCUUCCUUAGAUACUGAUUUUUUUUGAGGUGCUUUGUUUCUGCUGUCUGUGCUUUGCUUAAUAACUUUUCAGGGAUAUUUGCAAUUCUGCAUCAGAGUUUUAGCUCUUUUCCCUUCCUAUAUACUUGGAGAAUUUUGGCUUUCCUUUGGAGAAUUUCUUUAAUAUUAGCAUUUAUCAAUAAAUAAUAAUUUAAGUCAUCCAUUAAAUAUUUUUGAGCAACUCCUCACAGCCAAGUUAUGGGUUGAAGACUUCUCUCAAAUUCAUAAUCUGAAAUCCUAACUCCAUGAGCCUCACAAUGUGACCUUAUUUGGAGACAGGACCUUUAAAGACAUAAUUAAGUUAAAACAACUUUAUUAGGAUGAGCCCUAACUCAGCGUGACUGAUAAUCUUGUAAAAUGGAGCAUUUGAAGAUAGAUAUUUACACGGGCCAAAUGCCAUGUAAAGAGGAAAGCAAAGAUAAAAAUGAUGAAUGCAUAGCCCAAGAACUGCCAAAGAUCACCAGUGAACCACCAGAAGCCAGAGAAGAACACAGAUUUUCUCACGACCCUCAGAUACUUUCAUUGUGAAUGUCCAGUUUCCAGAACUGUAAGUCAAUAAAUUUCUGUUGUUUUUAGGCACAGAACACUUUGUUAUGGCAACCCUAGCAACCGAUCCAAACACCUAGAGUACUAAAAUAAGAAGAAUGUUAGCAAUGAAAUCUGGUUAUCCAGCAUGAGGGCAUAAGAGGCUCAGGAGCAGACUUCUAGCAAAAGGGAUGCAAAGCUGAAGAAUCUGGUCCAUGCUGCUUCUUUCAGAUGUUUGUGUGUUUGGCGUUGUGGACAGAAGACAGACAUAGGCAAGAGGGAGGCCUUGGGCGAGGGAUAAACUCAGUGGCACGGCACCUGCCUGGCAAGUGCAAGGUCUUGAGUUUGAUUCCCAGUACCAAAUUAGAAAAAGAAAAAAAAAGAGGUAGGCUUGAAUUUUAAGGAAAAUAAAAUUUAGUAAUUCAUUGGCAGGGAUUAAAAAGUUCAAUUACUUACCAUUGGCAAGUAUAUCGGUUGGAAAAAUGUAUACGUGUGCACAGAGAGUAGUGCAAGUUAGUGCAAUAUCUAUGUAGGACAUUUUAGAAAUAUUUACAGUGCACAUGCCUAGAAGAUGAUAAACCAAACACAUGCAUUUCCACUAUACUUCCCUGAAGUCACAGGUUAUGAGAGUUGAGGACUGAAGGCCAUAUAAAACCCACAAAAAUAAUAAAAUAGAAAAAACAGCAAUACAAUUUUGGAGACGGAAAGCAGAUAGAGAAGCAUUCAUCGAAGUCCCAGAAGCAGUGUCUGAAAGCCAAUAAGUAGUAAGCUGUGUGAUCGACAGUCAAGCAACCCUGAAAGUUUCAACCACAGAAGGCAUCAGGUACCACGGAAGGUAUAGAAUAAGGUGGGCUAAGAGGUGUUUGAAAAAUGUUUCCAUUGGGACCAAAUAGACAGUAACUUUGAUCCUGCCCCGAGUCUAUCCAGCCAAGGACCGACCAGAUCAAUGAAACCAUAACUUCCAAACUUGGUGUCAGGGAGGGUGGUGACGGUGAGUCACAGUGUUGGAAACAGGAGGAUUAAGUGGAAGUCUUCAUAUUUGUACUUUAUGUGCCAGUUUGAAGAAUUCUUCUCUACAUGUAGUGUUUUUGGAAAUAGUGAUGUGUAAAUUCUCAUAUUGCAGGAGCUGGCAAUAAAAUAAUCACCUACAGUGAUGCCAGUCAUCAAGCAUUGCUGCAAAGCUUCCAGUCAGAAUCUGAGUCCUUUGUUCUAAAGUGGACAGCUACAAGACACCUACUGUUUGGGAAAGCUUGAAGUACUGAAGACAGAUCAAAAUAAACAAAGCAAAGGGAGUGAAUAAGAAACAAUAGAAGGAAUAGAAGAAAAUUAAAACCAAAAUUUAAAACUGAAAAAUAAGUGACUGUAGAGAAAAAAGGAAGUAUGUUCUGUAUUUACAUGGGCAUCCAGAGGUCAGUAAGUAACUCUCAACAAUUAAAGAAUAAGGUAACAGAAACACUGACAUUCCCUAACAUUGACUUUACCAAGUAUUAUGAAAUUGGGAAGAUGAGAAAGAGAAUUCUGCACAGGAAAUGAGGAACGUGAUUGUAGAAAGAUAGGGAUAAGCAGGUAAUAAUUGCUGUCAUGUAUUUAUUUAUUUGAGGCAGGGUCUUGCUGUGUAGUUCAGGCUAUCCUUCAACUCACUAUGUAGCCAAAGCUGACUUAGAGAUUCUUCUGCCUCAGCUUCCUGAUUACUGGGAUUACAGUGUGUACCACCACACCUGACUCAAGGGCCUUUCAUUAAAAACCUUGUAGUACUAUUUAUCUUUUGGUAAAAAUUAAAGUGAAACCACAAAAUUAUAAGGAAUAAGAACUAUCAAGAACCAUCAAACUAAAUAUUCUAGUACUGAGAUAGAUUUUGCAGUUUGUUUUGCAGUAGCUCUCCAAGUUCAGAGAGCCAUGAAACACUAGAAUAAAUGAGAGAAUUAUACUGCCUACAUCCCAUAAGCAGUUUUAGCAAACAAGAAUUACUUCAGCUCCUGUGGAAGGGGCAAGAAAGACUGUUCCUUGAUUUCAGACACCUCAGUGUGUACCUUUGAGUGAAGAGAUUAUAGGUACUAUAGCAGAAAUCACCAAAUGAUUAUUUCCAGAAUGUGUUGAUGUUCUAAUGUAUAUUUACUAAAAACACUGAAAACAUAGGCAUGUGCUGCAGACAGAAUGUGCUCCCCCAAAUUCGUAUGCAGAAACCCGAGCCCUCUGUGUAUUUGGAGAGGAGGAUUCCAAGUAAUAAAAUGUACGGGAAGCUGGAAGGGUGGAAGCCUGAUCUCUUAGAAGGAUUGUCCUCCUCCCAACUGGAUCUACCACACAGGCAUCUCUCUCCUGGCACACACAGAAGACAUGGCCAUGUGAAGUCAGCAAUCUGUGGGCCAAGAAGAGGGCACUGCCUCACUGUGAUCUUGGGCUUCCAACCUCCAGAAUAGUGGAAAAAUAAAUUUCUACUGUUUAAGCCAUCCGAUCUGUUGUAUUUUGUUAUGGCAACCCAAGGAAAUUAAUAUAACAGAUUGCAUUGAGUAAAACUCCACCGACAUGAAAAACAACAUGAGAUUGCCCUUUGAUAUAGCAAUUCCACAUUUCUCUAUCUGUCCUUUAGGUUAUUAAAUUUAAUCUAGGAGUCAACAAACCUAGGGGCCAAAUCUAACCCAUCAUUUGGUUUUAUGCAUCCAGUGAGCUAAAAAUGGUUUGUAGGUUUUAAAUGAUUAGAGGAAAUUAAAAAGCAUAAUAUUUUAUAAUGAGAAUACUACAUGAAAUUCAAAUUUCAAGAUUUAUAAGUAAAGUUUUUAAUAUAGCCAUGCUCAUUUUAAAUGUAUUGUUUACGGCUAUUUUGUGCUUCAAUCACACGACUGAAUAGUUACGUCAGGUACCAUAUUGAUCAGAAAACUGAAAAUAUGGGGCUGGAGGUUUAGCUCAGCGGCAUAAGCGCCUGCCUUGCAAGCAGGCAGUCGUGAGUUUAAUCCCCGGUACCGAUAAAAAGAAAAAGAAAACUGAAAAUAUUUAUUCUUUUAAUUUUUAUUUUACUUUAAAGAGAAUAAAACCAUGGAAAAUAAAACAGAAUAAAACUAAUCAAAAUAAACCAGUAAAAGUGACACAGGUCUUCACAACUAUACAAAAUCAACAAUAGUUACCAUAAUGCCUUUUGUUAUCUUCAAAAUAGCUGCAAAUACCUUUGGACAGAGUAAAAAUCAAACAGAACAGAAUAGAAGAGAAAUAAUAAAAACAAAACAAUGGAUGAAAUAAAGGACUUCAAAACAUGUCAAUAGUAAAUCCAAACUGGCUACCAUAAUAUGUCUUGCUAUCUUUUAAAUAACUGCUUGUGACAUCAGAUGUUACAUAAAACAAAAGAGAAUAAAACCCAACCCAACAGAACAAUGAAAAUUACAUGGGUUCCAGGCUGGGAUUGCUUUCUACUGAGGUAUUUGAUUCUUCUCCCUAAGUAAAGAAUAACCCACCCUAAGUGAGGGGCCAUCCUUCCUUUAUUUCUUAAAUCCCCUUCCCAAGUAUGGGGACAUUAAAUUGAGCACAUGAUACAUGUUCAAUAUGCCUUUUCUAUUUUCAUGGUAAUAAAUAUCUUUUGAAUUGUUAGAUGAUGAAGCUUCUGUGAAUUAUAGGUGACAAUUCCUGGGAUAAACUCAUCUUCCAGCCACAUACAAAGAUUUGUUCAAAUAUUUAUUCUAGAUCCUCCAUCUGUUUUCAUUUGAAAUGUUCUUUUUUUAAUCUUUAUUUUCUUUUUCCCAAAUAAUAUGUCAGGUUUCAUGAUUCAUUUUUAUUUUUUCUCAUCUAUUGGCUUAAGUAUCAGGCUUUUGCCGAAGCAGCAAACUUCAAAGAACUUUCUUCUGUCAUGAUUGUUGAUAUGAAAGAAGACAGCAGAUUCAAACGACCACACAGUGGAUAAAUCAGUGUGAGAUUGGAGAAUACUAUUUAUUGUUCAAGACAAAAAUGAGAAUGUUGUGAAAAUUUUGUGUUCAGCUUUUGAUGAGAUGGAAUCCCUUACUGAAGGCAACCUAAAGCUUGUAAGAUGUCAUUACUAUUAGCAACAAAAAACUACCUUUCAAGGCCAGUUGUCACAUAUAUAAUUUAUAUAAGUCUUGCUUUGAUUAUUCUUAUUUUUAGCUAUCCAGGAGUAUGAUCAAUGAUUAGUAGUAGCAGUAGUACAGUAAUAUCACCUUUAUAUUCUCAGAGGAAAAUUCUGGUGAGUUGAAAAUUAACCCAACAUUUUCUAACAUCUCGGUAUAUAAUUACCAUAAAAUCCUCAAUAUGUAUAAUUUGGACUAGGAAGCACUGAUAAGAAUUAGAUUAUUUAUUCGUCUUAUUCUUGAUUUGCUCAAUUUAUAGUACUUUUUGAAAAUAACUUGAUGUCUCUCUUUCAUAAAAGCUGGUUAAAGCUAUAUCUGGUCUCUCACAUUGCUAAUAUAUUAUGAAUUGCUUAAGAGUAUCUACAAAGUAAUUAUUUGUGGCCCUGGGUUUUCUUUUUUUUUUCUUUUUCUUUUUCUUUUUUAUCAGUACCAGGGAUCGAACUCACAACUGCCUGCUUAUAAGGCAGGCGCUUAUGCCGCUGAGCUAAAUCCCCAGCCCCAGCCCUGGGUUUUCAUGACAUCUAUCAAUUAAUAUUUUUAUGUAACUGGCACUCUGGCUCUCGUCCCUGCUCUGCUGGUAUGUGUCUAUGUUUACUUGAUUUGUAUCCAAAUGUGUUUAGAUUCUUUGCUAUGUAGUUCAGGCUGGCCUUGAACUCACUAUGCUCGAAAUUGUGGCAAUCCUCCUGCCUCAGCAUUUGAAGUGCUGGGAUUAUAGGCAUGUACCAUCAUGCCUGGAUUAUAUCUUAUUUCUUGGACUCAAAAAUUGUAUGAUUCUAAAAAAGCUCCUGCCCAUUGUAAUUUUUUAAUUUUGCUUUAAAAAAAUGUCUAAGUAUAUUUACAUUUGUUUAACAUUAAUGUGGCCAUUUUGCAUAGAAUCAGAAUAUUGGAUUAUACACGUUAGCAAGUAAUAUUAAGUUAUAGUCUAAAUUUACUUUCAUUUCUAAUGAAAGGUAAAGAGUUGAAACUUUACCUAUAGCAAAAAAAAAAAAAAAAAAAAACACACAAACAAAAUGUCUUUUUCUUUCUUCCCUGUUUAAGCAAUUAAAAGAACUUUGUUUCUGUAGCUCAUGAUUUCUCUAGUUGGGGUCCCAGGUGGUGCGAGGAGCAGCACACAAAAGCAGCUCUUUAAUGGGCUGAGUUCCAAAACAGUGACUAGACGGAACCCCCAAGGGCAGGUGCAUCCAGACCCAGGAGCACAGGAGCCUGUUUUGGGCCCUCCGGGCAGGCGCUGUUCCAAAGUCCCAUGGCACGGAUGCAAAGCCAACUGCAUGGAUGAGCAGAAAAGCUCAUUCUGUGAACAGCUCCCUAACCAGGAGGAGGAAAGGUGAGCGGAGUUGAGCAGAUUUCUCUGGUUAUUUUUCCUAAAUUGCAAAUUCACCAAGUCACUGCAUUUCUCCAGGGAACAGAAAAAAGGUAAAGACAAAUACAACACAGUACUUACAGAAAAUUACCAGGAACAAGAAAAAGGUGUUCUUUCUAAAUCUGCACUCCUAACCGCUACUAGCCAUAUUCCCCAGAAAUAAACUUUUGUGAAUUAAAAGAAAAUGCCAAGAUGUGUCAUGUAAAGACAUUUAAUAUAACUUUUCAAGUAAUUUGUCUAUAUCGAAACCAGUCUUGUUUUUGCAUUUGAAGAUGAUCUUUGCAAAGAAUCGCAUGCAUGUGUUUAACAUUUACCUUCAGUAUUAACUAUGUUGAUAUUACUGUUGCUUACUUUAACAUUUUAGUUUUAACAUUUAUAUUUGGAGGAAUUAAAAAACUUCAAAGAAGCUAUAACUCAUUUCCACAGUCUGAGUUCUUGUGAGUGUUUAGUGAGAACCUUCAGAAAGGGCUUAAUGCUAUUUGGGAAUUAAAAUAGUACUUGUGAGAAUUACCUCUAUGGAAAUACAAAUUGGUAUACAAUGUAAAGUGUAGUUUGAUAGAAUGAGCAGAUUCGAAUUUUUUUCUAAGACCCAAACUAAAAUAAUAAUUAAAUAGUAACUAUCAAUAUAAGAACCACAACCUUAAAUACAGUUUGACUUUCAUGACAAUAGAAGUUAAAGAAAGGAGUAUUGUUCUCACUGUUUUGUUUUGUUCAAUUUAUUGGGUUUUUUAAAAAUUUUAAUGCUCUGUUUUGAUUGGUUUUAUUCUGUUUUGUUUUGUUUGGCAUUGGUAGUCUGAUGGUAUGGACAGCGAGUGUGAAUUCAGCAAGACACGCUAUGGUAGCCAUUGUUGACUUUCUUACUGUCUUGUUUUGAAGUUCUGUUCCACUUUUAUUGCUUUGUUUUGAUUGACUUUAUUCAGUAUUUUUUGGUGAGUUUUGUUCUUUAUAAAAUAAAAUAACAAAUAUCUUUUCUGUCUAGUGGUUAUGCUAAUACGGCACUAAUCUCAACCUCCAGCCCCUGUCAAUCCGCACAACUGAAUCAUUAGCUCUUUUGAUUUCAAAGGGCCAACACUGUGAACCUGAAUGUUCAUUGACUAGUGUAAAACACACUGUCCUGGAAACAGCAAUGUGAGUUCUGCCCUCCAACACGGUAAAGUCACACCUGAUGGCAGACUCACAUCCUGCUAACGCAUGACAAUAACAGCACUUAGAAACCGCGUGAUACGCAGUAGAGGACAUUUUAUCUGCUGUAGGAUGUAUGAACUACCAAUAUAUAUUUUGGUGUAUUAUAAAAUACUCGGGGCUGGGGAUUUAGCUCAGCGGCAUAAGCGUCUGCCUUACAAGCAGGCAGUCGUGACUUUGAUCCCCGGUACCGAUAAAAAGGAAAAAGACAAAAAAAAAAAAAAAAAAAGACAGGAGAGUGAAUAAAGUCUGCAAACAUUAAUUUUUGGUGUCUUCUUAAAAUGUCAAAUCUGUAAGAACCCAUAAGCCAAAUAAUAUUAGUUCGAAUAACCUCAAAUAAUACUAAAUUGAACCAAAUGAAGCAUUAUUUCUGUAGGUCACAACAGUCAAUAUUGGCAAUUUCAUAUGGCUUAGCCUAGUAAAAAACUACAUUAAUUUUCUUUUGCUGUAUAACGUUACAAGAAAUUUAGUUCUUCAACACUCAUUUUUUUCGUCCCUAUGACCAGUCUCUCUCUCUCUCUCUCUCUCUCUCUCUCUCUCUCUCUCUCUCUGUCUGCGUCUCUUCUCUCUUUCACUGAUAUAUACUUUCAAGGAGUUAAAACAGUGAAAUAUUUUUAUAAAACAGGAGGAGACUUAAUUUUAUCAAAAUUUCCCAAGCUACUUGACAUCUCAGUAUUUAUUGGUCUUAGUACGGACUACAGUUUGUUGAGUUUCCUAAGUAGAUCUUUGUCUUUAGGAAGUGAGAGAUCAAGGCUGUGUCAAUAAUUAUAGAUUGGAAGAGGUCUUGCAAAUUAUCUAAUCCAAAUCCAUUGUUCUACAGAGAAAACUCAGCUUCAAAAAAAGGCAUCCAUUGGAGCCCAUAAAGCUAAGAGAGAAGAAAAUUUCAGAAAUAUCUUGAACAAAUACCCUGAGUUGAGAAAAAAAAUCAGUUACCAGUUUAGGAACAAAAUUUGGACAUGACUUUAGGUGUUUGAAGAGUUAACUGUAAACUUGAAAGCUAACUAUUUUCAAAGCAAGGAAGGCUGGAAAUGUUGAUUUUUUUUUUUUUUUUUUGCUUUUUAGUUUUAUAAAAUACAUAAAUACAGGGAAAAUUAAUAAUCAGUUUUAUGUAGUGAUCACUUAUCUCACACAAGGACCAAUUCAUGACCAUCUGUAUCACCCCUCCCCCAUGUCUCCUUUUCUUCCAAUCUUUAGAUUAUUUUGAAACAAAUCUUGGUUGCAAUAUCAUUUCAUGCAAAAUAUUUUCGUAUAUAGCUUCAAAACAUAAAACCUUAGAGAGUGUUCAACUGUCUUGUAGACAAGAGGAAGGCUUUGAGUAUUUUUAACCUGGGCAGCAACAAGGUUGGGAACAGAAGAGGCAAAUGGUGACAAUCCAAGCAGAAUGGAUUGGAGCAGAAGUAGACAGGUAAGUGCUUAAUAUGCCAUGUUACCGCUGUCACGUGAGGUACUGUAGAGUCGUUUCCUGUUUUCCAGAUCUAAAGUACACUGUAUGGUUGCACAUAUUAUUGUAUGGUGAGCAGAGGAACUCUUGAAGAUCAUUAUGUAAAAUAACAACCCUAGGUGUGUUCAUACCACCUUGUUUUGAAGGCCUGUAUUGUCAGUGUUCUGGGCUCUUUGCUAUGAUUGUUUAUAUGUCUUUUUUGUUUCAUGUUUUUCUAGGAAUUUAUUUUGUUUUGUCUUGGUCUGUUUUGUUUUCCCCUCUAAUACAGAAAGGAUAGGUAUACAUGUAGAGACUCACGCAUGCUUAGUACUUCUAAAACGUUUAUGAGAAUCAAUAACAUAAUGCAUGAUGAAAUGAACAGCUACUUUGAAGAAAAAGAGACAUUAAGGUACCCAGUGCUGACUCCGUAGCGUCUUGCUGUGAAAUCCAGCAAUACUAUUAUUCUUUGUUCAGAGUGAUGUUAGUCUGUUUUGUUUUGUUUAAUUCAACAUACAUGAAGGUAUGGACAGCUAUUUGGAAAAAAUGAGAGACAUUAUGGCAGCCAUUGUUGACUUCCCUAUUGUCUGGUCUUGAAGACCUAAAAGGCCUUCAUCAUCCUGUUCUGAUCAGUGCUAUACUAUUUCAUUUUGUAUGAAUUCACUGUAUGUGAAGAUACGGACAACUCUUUGGAAGAAAACAAGAGACAAUAUCAUAGACAGUGAAGAUCUUCAGUUUUCUUGCUCUGAAAUCUGUCUCUUACAUUGUUAUCUUAUGAUCUGUUUUGUUUUGUUUAAUUUUACCCUCUUAAAAAAAAAGUACGCUGUAUGGUUUCCUGUGCUGGUGUUUAAUGCUAGAAAUAAUUUAUACAUUGUUAGUCAAUGGAGAUGUUUCCCUUCCAGAAGUUUUAUCAUCUCUAUCUUUCAGUUUCACGCUUUGCAUCUUGUUCAUUGUAUGGCAAUAAUAGGAGAACUUACAUAUUAAAUAUUCAUCUUUUAUUUU